rnacentral:lncRNA from 1 species
CACAACGUCGCAGAGGGGCCGGGUUUAACGGCCGAGCCCGACGGCUUCCUGGAAGUCGGGGUUCUGCACAUGGGCGACAACGUCGGAGUGCCACAUCGUGCCGACGAAACGUGGGCCUGGCGAUCGGAGACGUCACAAAGACGAUAUGAAUUAUUUAUGGAGUGUAUGGUGAGAAGCGUCGGCCUGUCUUUUCACACUCGGGAUGCACCUUUUUCGUGAGUCAAGCGUGGCUACAGACGUCGUGACGAGGAUAACGUUGCCGCUGACUCAUCAUGGUCACAUGACCGAGAGAGCGAAAGUGGGUCGCACAGCGGACAGCUGUUGUUCGAAAGAGCAUCCCCGUACUCGUGUAAUGUAAAUCAAAAGGACAAGUGUGGUUAGACUACAGCCUUAGGUGUUAUUACGAGGAAGUGUUCACAAGUGGCGUUACCUUGGUGAGGUGCCGGGUGACUGCCCAGGAGUGUUCGUGGGCGAUG